GAUGAAGAACGCAGCGAAAUGCGAUAAGUAAUGUGAAUUGCAGAAUUCAGUGAAUCAUCGAAUCUUUGAACGCACAUUGCGCCCGCUAGUAUUCUGGCGGGCAUGCCUGUUCGAGCGUCAUUUCAACCCUCAAGCCCCCCGGGUUUGGUGUUGGGGAUCGGCUCUGCCUCACGGCGGUGCCGCCCCCGAAAUACAUUGGCGGUCUCGCUGCAGCCUCCAUUGCGUAGUAGCUAACACCUCGCAACUGGAACGCGGCGCGGCCAUGCCGUAAAACCCCAACUUCUGAAUGUUGACCUCGGAUCAGGUAGGAAUACCCGCUGAACUUAAGCAUAUCAAUAAGCGGAGGA
rnacentral:misc_RNA from 1 species